ensembl:snRNA U6 U6 spliceosomal RNA
AUGUUUCAACAACACACAUACUAAAAUUUGAGCAGUAAAGAAAUUAGCGUGGUACCUAUGCAAGGAUGAUAUGCAGAUUUGUAAAACAUCUCAUAUUUUC